rnacentral:rRNA from 1 species
GACGAACGCUGGCGGCGUGCUUAACACAUGCAAGUCGAACGGAAAGGCCCUGCUUUUGUGGGGUGCUCGAGUGGCGAACGGGUGAGUAACACGUGAGAAACCUGCCCUUUACUUUGGGAUAACUGCAGGAAACUGGGGCUAAUACCGGAUAUGAGCUCCUGCUGCAUGGUGGGGGUUGGAAAGUUUCGGCGGUUGGGGAUGGACUCGCGGCUUAUCAGCUUGUUGGUGGGGUAGUGGCUUACCAAGGCUUUGACGGGUAGCCGGCCUGAGAGGGUGACCGGCGACAUUGGGACUGAGAUAAGGCCCAGACUCCUACGGGAGGCAGCAGUGGGGAAUAUUGCACAAUGGGCGGAAGCCUGAUGCAGCAACGCCGCGUGCGGGAUGACGGCCUUCGGGUUGUAAACCGCUUUCGCCUGUGACGAAGCGUGAGUGACGGUAAUGGGUAAAGAAGCACCGGCUAACUACGUG